UCUAAAUGUAAUUUUAUUCUAAAGUAGUAUUAGUUAUGAUCUUGAAAUUUAAAGAUUUUGGCGGUAUUUUAGUCUUUUCAGAGGAACCUGUUCUGUAAUUGAUAAUCCACGAUUAAUUAAACUUAAUUUUUUAGUUUGUAUAUCGUCGUGGUUUGAAUAUUUUAAAAGAAUUUAAUGUUCAUUUUUUUUUAUUAAAAUUAAUAUCAGAUCAAGGUGCAGCUUAUAAUUAAGGAGAAAUGGGUUACAUAUAAAUAAAUUUGUGGAUAUAAAAUAGAAAAUUUUAUUAAAAUUGGAUUUGAAAGUAAUUAAAUGUAUAAUCUUUUAAUGAUUAAGCUCUAAAAUAUGC
rnacentral:rRNA from 1 species